GAGAGGACCGGAGUGGACGCAUCACUGGUGUUCGGGUUGUCAUGCCAAUGGCACUGCCCGGUAGCUAAAUGCGGAAAAGAUAAGUGCUGAAAGCAUCUAAGCACGAAACUUGCCCCGAGAUGAGUUCUCCCUGAGACUUUAAGUCUCCUGAAGGAACGUUGAAGACGACGACGUUGAUAGGUCGGGUGUGUAAGCGCAGCGAUGCGUUGAGCUAACCGAUACUAAUGAACCGUGAGGCUUAACCUU
rnacentral:rRNA from 1 species